rnacentral:rRNA from 1 species
GUGGGAGCACCUUCGGGUGUGACUGCGUACCUUUUGUAUAAUGGGUCAGCGACUUAUAUUCUGUAGCAAGGUUAACCGUAUAGGGGAGCCGCAGGGAAACCGAGUCUUAACUGGGCGUUAAGUUGCAGGGUAUAGACCCGAAACCCGGUGAUCUAGCCAUGGGCAGGUUGAAGGUUGGGUAACACUAACUGGAGGACCGAACCGACUAAUGUUGAAAAAUUAGCGGAUGACUUGUGGCUGGGGGUGAAAGGCCAAUCAAACCGGGAGAUAGCUGGUUCUCCCCGAAAGCUAUUUAGGUAGCGCCUCGUGAAUUCAUCUUCGGGGGUAGAGCACUGUUUCGGCUAGGGGGUCAUCCCGACUUACCAACCCGAUGCAAACUACGAAUACCGAAGAAUGUUAUCACGGGAGACACACGG